rnacentral:lncRNA from 1 species
UCACCUUGCUGCUCCGGCAGCUGCUAGAUCCGCCACAACCCCCACCAAUCCAUCCCUCGCGCGACCCAUCUCUCUCUCCUGCGAAUCGUCGCGCCGCCACCAACAUCCGCCGAUUCCGGCGACGUCCGCCACCGUGCAGCACGCUCACGAGUUCAUCUCCAACCCCUCCGCCCUCCUGCCCGGCUGGAUCUGCCGCUCCCAGCCCCCUGAGCUCGCACUCAAACCCCAGCCCAUGUCUAGGGUUUCGGCUGCGGCGGCGCGUCCGUCGCUGGCGCGUCUCCAGCAGCACCACUCCGUCGUGCAUCGCGCCCCCUCGCGCCUCUCCGCCUCCACCAAGCUCAGUGCGUUCGACUGCGUUGGGCUGGACGGCGGCGACCCCGACGCCCUCUUCCGCGUCUCUGGCGCAGCGGUGUGUCCUCUACUCCUGUCUCUACCUCCUCUAUUACGCGACGACGGUGUCUGACCUGCACUGCGACCACUGCAUUGCUUACAAAUGUCUCCUGUGAGCACUGCGACCUCUGCCUCCCUCUUCUGCUUGAUUCAGCUUGAUUUUGUAUCUUUCCUCUCAAGAAUUGAUGAUUUAAUAUUUAAAACAGUAAUCCCUCUGUUAUAGAAUUUAUAGUCUAGUAGCAAAUCAGGCUCAUAGUCACUAAAUUGUUUGAUGCUUUCCUGAUUUGAUUAAGAUGACUGUUGCAGUCAGGUAGUUGUAGUUUUAGUUGACUGUACUUUUUUAUUUGUAUUCUGUGAAAGUGAACUUCAGAGUGCAAAAUUGCAUUUCUUGUGCAUUUUUGUAUCUUUCCAGAACCAAAAGAGAUGAAUUGAACCUCUUCUUACCGCCUAAUAAAAGGGAAUGUGCAGAACUGUAUGUGCUGUAUAUUUUUGUAUCUUUCUAGAACCGAAAGAGAUGGAGAAUUGAACCUCUUCUUAUUGCCUAAUAAAAGGGAGUGUAGUACUGGUUCAAUCACUUCCAGAAUGCUUCUUGAUAUACCAGGAAAAGGGAGUUAUCCACUUUUAAGAAAUAUUGGAUGUUGCUUUACAUUCUACUGUAGCCUUUUUGUCUUUCUGUAUUGUGGAAUCGGUGUUCCUUGUCUGACAUAUUUCUCUACUGAUGUAAAGUGUGUGUAUUAAUAGCCUAUUAAUAUAGUACAUAGUCAGUCAUAACUACUUUAUAAUAGUUUAGAUAUACCUCCCUGAAAUGUUAUGUGAACCAUUGUAUAGCUCUUAUGUUCAUCAUUACUUCCCUGUAUAGCUCUUCUGUUUAUCAUUACUUCCAGCUUGGUUGUUAUUUUUUGCAGUACUGGUAGAUCAGAUUGCCAUAGCCCAUAAUAUAAGUUCUAUGUUUGAUUGAUUUCCUCUACCAAUUCUAAAUAUAAUAAUCAAAAUUUGCAUUUGUUUAAUGCAGGAUCUGUUAUCAAAAUCGAGAGUUAGUGGUUCAAGUUUAUUAAAUCAUGUUAAGUGUAGUGUAACUUUGAAAGUGUCUCCACCUUGAACAUUUCAUUUAUUCUUGUUUUCUUUACCAUUAAUAGGUAUUAUUUAUACCUCAAUUCCAAAAUAAUUGAAUUUGACCAAGUUUAUUAGAAGCUAUAUCAACAUCUACACCACAUAAUUAGUUUCAUUAGAUUCAUUGUAAAAUACAUUUUUGUAAAAAAGAGCUCACUUCUCUGUUCUUGAUACUAUAGUAUACCUAUUAUGUCUGUUCUCACACGUAGAUAGGUGUAUUUGUUUACAUAAGAAAAAUGACACGAAGUUAGUUCAUGAUCAUGGCUUAGGGAAAAAAAGGUGUGCACUAUGGUAAAAAGAGGUACAGUUUUGUUGCAAGUAGUUUUCCAGAAACAAUAAUUUAUCUUGUUCCCAUCCCUUUAUUAUUUGUCAACACCCCUCUGAUCUUUGAGAUCAUAAUUUUUCAAAGGUACCUACAGUUGCACAACAAGGUGGAGCUCCUCAGUGCUUUGGCAUGGGUAAGCUCCUAUGCCCUUCAAGAUGAUUUGAACUAUUUGGCAUGAGGUUACUCGUGAUUAGUCGUCGAUGUUGUGUUGCUGCAAUGAAACAAUAUUGUUGAUUAAUGAAAGACAAGCAAUCCUGGCAUAACUCUUAAGUAUAUAGGCCUCACGAGUGAGGUUCAAAUCAUGUGAAAUAAAAAUGAUGGUUCAGAUGAUAAUAACUACUAUUUAUGUUGUUGUAAUCAACUUGCCAUUUUGUAACAGAAGCAUAUUGUUUGUUACAGGUUUACUUGGUGGUCGGAGCCACAAAGGAAGUUGGAGGUGUAGACGUGAACUUGAUGAUUAAGAGAGUCUGUACAAUCUUGUAUAUCUGUAGAUGUAAUCUGGUGUAAUUAUUAUUGAGGGCAUGUGAUCUGAUGUUGGAUGUAUUAUCUGGAUGUAUUAUUGGCCACCUUUUAGAAGGGCUUUACUCAGUGAAAUAUUGAAUGGAAAUUUGUCAAAUGCUUCAAAUUAUGGGCCUGUUCAAUAGAAAUUAAUUGUGUUGUGAAAGCUUGUUUGAUUAC